rnacentral:rRNA from 1 species
CCAGACUCCUACGGGAGGCAGCAGUGGGGAAUAUUGCACAAUGGGGGGAACCCUGAUGCAGCGACGCCGCGUGGGUGAAGGAGUAUUUCGGUAUGUAAAGCCCUAUCAGCAGGGAAGAACAAUGACGGUACCUGACUAAGAAGCACCGGCUAAAUACGUGCCAGCAGCCGCGGUAAUACGUAGGGGGCAAGCGUUAUCCGGAUUUACUGGGUGUAAAGGGAGCGUAGACGGCGAAGAAAGUCUGAAGUGAAAGCCCGCGGCUCAACCGCGGAAUGGCUUUGGAAACUUUUUUGCUGGGGUACCGGAGAGGUAAGCGGAAUUCCUAGUGUAGCGGUGAAAUGCGUAGAUAUUAGGAGGAACACCAGUGGCGAAGGCGGCUUACUGGACGGUAACUGACGUUGAGGCUCGAAAGCGUGGGGAGCAAACAGGAUUAGAUACCCUAGUA